AGGACGACGCUGGCGGCGUGCUUAACACAUGCAAGUCGAACGGAAAGGCCCUGCUUUGUGGGGUGCUCGAGUGGCGAACGGGUGAGUAACACGUGAGUAACCUGCCCUUGACUUUGGGAUAACUUCAGGAAACUGGGGCUAAUACCGGAUAGGAGCUCCUGCUGCAUGGUGGGGGUUGGAAAGUUUCGGCGGUUGGGGAUGGACUCGCGGCUUAUCAGCUUGUUGGUGGGGUAGUGGCUUACCAAGGCUUUGACGGGUAGCCGGCCUGAGAGGGUGACCGGCCACAUUGGGACUGAGAUACGGCCCAGACUCCUACGGGAGGCAGCAGUGGGGAAUAUUGCACAAUGGGCGGAAGCCUGAUGCAGCAACGCCGCGUGCGGGAUGACGGCCUUCGGGUUGUAAACCGCUUUCGCCUGUGACGAAGCGUGAGUGACGGUAAUGGGUAAAGAAGCACCGGCUAACUACGUG
rnacentral:rRNA from 1 species